CUUCGGGGACGAUAACGGCGUCGAGCGGCGGACGGGUGAGUAAUGCCUAGGAAAUUGCCCUGAUGUGGGGGAUAACCAUUGGAAACGAUGGCUAAUACCGCAUAACACCUUCGGGUCAAAGAGGGGGACCUUCGGGCCUCUCGCGUCAGGAUAUGCCUAGGUGGGAUUAGCUAGUUGGUGAGGUAAUGGCUCACCAAGGCGACGAUCCCUAGCUGGUCUGAGAGGAUGAUCAGCCACACUGGAACUGAGACACGGUCCAGACUCCUACGGGAGGCAGCAGUGGGGAAUAUUGCACAAUGGGCGCAAGCCUGAUGCAGCCAUGCCGCGUGUGUGAAGAAGGCCUUCGGGUUGUAAAGCACUUUCAGUCGUGAGGAAGGUAGUGUAGUUAAUAGCUGCAUUAUUUGACGUUAGCGACAGAAGAAGCACCGGCUAACUCCGUGCCAGCAGCCGCGGUAAUACGGAGGGUGCGAGCGUUAAUCGGAAUUACUGGGCGUAAAGCGCAUGCAGGUGGUUUGUUAAGUCAGAUGUGAAAGCCCGGGGCUCAACCUCGGAAUAGCAUUUGAAACUGGCAGACUAGAGUACUGUAGAGGGGGGUAGAAUUUCAGGUGUAGCGGUGAAAUGCGUAGAGAUCUGAAGGAAUACCGGUGGCGAAGGCGGCCCCCUGGACAGAUACUGACACUCAG
rnacentral:rRNA from 1 species